rnacentral:rRNA from 1 species
UUUGAAAUCUGGCCCCUUCGGGGUCCGAGUUGUAAUUUGCAGAGGGUGCUUUUGGUGUUGGCCGUGGUCUAAGUUCCUUGGAACAGGACGUCACAGAGGGUGAGAAUCCCGUACGUGGCCGCCGGCCCUCGCCUUGUAAAGCCCCUUCGACGAGUCGAGUUGUUUGGGAAUGCAGCUCUAAAUGGGAGGUAAAUUUCUUCUAAAGCUAAAUACCCGCCAGAGACCGAUAGCGCACAAGUAGAGUGAUCGAAAGAUGAAAAGCACUUUGGAAAGAGAGUGAAAAAGCACGUGAAAUUGUUGAAAGGGAAGCGCUUGCGGCCAGACGUGCCCGCGGUUGUUCAUCUGGGCUCUCGCCCGGUGCACUCCUCCGCGGGCAGGCCAGCAUCAGUUUGGGCGGUCGGACAAAGGUCUCUGUCACGUACCACCCCUCGGGGUGGCCUUAUAGGGGAGACGCAACACGGCCAGCCUGGACUGAGGUUCCGCGCAUCUGCUAGGAUGCUGGCGUAAUGGCAGCAAGCGGCCCGUCUUGAAACACGGACCAAGGAGUCUAACAUCUAUGCGAGUGUUUGGGUGUCAAGCCCGAGCGCGUAAUGAAAGUGAACGGAGGUGGGAACCCCUCGGGGCGCACCAUCGACCGAUCCUGAUGUCUUCGGAUGGAUUUGAGUAAGAGCAUAGCUGUUGGGACCCGAAAGAUGGUGAACUAUGCCUGAAUAGGGUGAAGCCAGAGG